AGAGAUCAUGAGAGAUCAGACUCCGUGUUGCAGUGAGAGAUCAGCCUCCACAUAGCCGUGACCAGACCUAGGAUGUUUGUAGAUUCCUUCUGAUCUCAAAUAAGAAGAAUGUGACAAACUAAAAUUACGGAGCAUAUUCCCUCCUUGCUGCCUGCACCCACUUUGCCCUACAGUCUUGGAGUCUAGAGAGUCUUUCCAGCUGCAGCUUGGACAAGAAUGAUCUCUGCAGGCAUUCGCAGGAAAUCACAGCCACCCACAGCACAGUAACAGCAGAGACAGCAAUUCACAUAGACAACUAACUUCUUUCUACUGACUAGACCCUGCCCUGUACAGAAAUGUGCUACUUAUGCAGCAAAUUGUGAAUUAAGAAGGGUGUAAUCAUGUAAUACAUCACAAAUAAAAAUAUUUUCUUCCUACCUCCUAAUCAGCUAAGUAUUUGUAAAACAAAACCAUUGAAACUUGGAAAAAAUCAUAAUAAAAUGCAUUAAGCUAGAAAAUUAAUGUCAUUAAAUGUUGAAGGGAGACCAAAAACAAAUAUUUUUCUUUACUUUAGCAAAUGUGAGUUUUCAAAAAGAAAACAAACAAACAAACAAACAGUACUUUAAGUUUAAUCAUUCCAUUUUAAACUAAGACGCCAUUUUCUAGCUUGUACAUAUUUACAUAUGUAUAGAAAUAUCCUUUUAAGAGAAGGUAAACACAGUGACAGCGGCUGUGGAAAUUAUUUCCAAUACAUAUAUAUAUAAUUUAAGGAUAUAAUAUUUAUUAUGCUAGAUUGAAUAAAUGCAAUAUUGUAGUUAAUACUGGAGCUACUGUAGAUUUAAUACAGUCGUGAGACUCGUAUAAAUAAAUAACUAAGCAUAGAGCUUUAUGGAUUUGUGACCGCGUGCUGAUAUUGCUUUGUAGGCUCAAGUAGUUGAAUGUUUUAACUAGUUUUUAAAAUAAAACCUGAAAAUAAAAGAGCACCCCUGCCUGAAACUCUUUAAAAUGUUAGAAAAGAUUUAUGUUCUCCUGCUUCAUGACAUAUUUUAUUUCCAAUUCUUAUAAAUAUCAUAUUAUUAUGUAUAAUUUCAUUUUUUUUUUUUUAAGUGAUAAUUAGGUGAAACUAUAUUUGGAAAAGUUGAAGGCUUUUACUUCUUGGGGUGAGUAAAAGUAGAAACACUAUAUCUGUACCCUUGAAUUUCUGGUGAUUUGACAUGAUUGGUUCUAGCUAUUUUAUUUACAUACUAUCUUUUCAUACUUUUAUUUACACACUGUCACAGAACUUGAGGCUGAAAGGUGUUGCUGUACAUUUUGGGAGCCAGAGAUAAUCCCAGUUAAUUAUUGAAAUAAGUUCAAUAGAAGCUAGUUUGUGAUUCUGGAUAUCUAAUAUGGAUAUGUAUAUGUAUAUGUUUAUGUAUGGAUAUGGAUAUGGAUAUGUAUCUAAUAUGGAUAUGGAUAUGUUGCUGGUUUUAAAACCAAAUACUCUUUUACUAUUAUUGCACAUUUUGUUACAUAUAUUAUUUACUCUCAAUAGCUUUAAAAAGUAUGCAAAAAAUAUGGAAAUAUGAUCUUAGCAUUACAGAGUAGGUCAAAGUCAAACACCAGUUAUGCUAGCUGCAACUAAAAAUCUCAAAUCUACUAAAUAGGAAGCUGACAGAUUGAAUUGCAGGAGAUGCCUAUCUGGUGGUAGCACAAACUACUUGACACUGCAAAGAAAUGUCACUGACAAUCCUGUUCUUUGAUAACAGUGUUAUAAAUUAAAAAGGCAGAGUGAACUUUAAUGCCACACUGUCCUUGUUCCUUGAAUGGUGUGAUUAACUGUCUCUGGGUCUUUUUUUGUCUUUAUUUUUUGUUGUUGGUUAUUGUAUACUCUACCUGCUCAUAACUUGUCUGUAAAUAAUUUAUUUACAUGAUGUAAGUCAUUUAUUAAAACAGGUGUUUGCAUACAGACUAACAGUUAUAUUUAAGGCUUUCUAUCUGUGAGUUUCUUUUAGAAGACCUUUCUAUAUUCCUUUUCUCUCUAUUUACAAAACUCUGAAAAAGUGUUUAACUUGAUUCACAAAUAAAAGAAUCCAUUUUUCACUGAAAAAAAAAAUAUUUAAAUUACUUUAGGAUGUGAUUUCAUUUAAGAUGAAGAUUAAGUUACAUUUUGUUCUUUAUACUCUUUAUCGCCACUGAUUCUUUUACUUUUACCUUUCAGCAAAUCAUAGCAAUGAUGCAGUGUUGGAGAAUGUUAACUAUAUAUAGACCUGAUCCUGAAAUACUCUCUGAGUCAAAAUUCCCUUUGAAUUCAUGCUGCUUACAAUCAAGGCAAUUGU
ensembl:lncRNA